AUGGAGGAGAAGAUGGCAAAGAUCAAAGGAGAAGGAACCAUGCAUUCUUUGCUCCUGGCCUUGGUGCUAUUUGUUAUUCCACCCUGUGUCCACUCGGCAGUGACCUUGAUCCAGCCUGGGUCAGUGCAGCUGAGGCCAGCAGAGACCCUUCGGCUCACCUGCUCCGUUUCUGGAUUCUCCCUCACUACUAGUGGGUAUGGAGUGGGUUGGAUCCGACAGCCCCCAGGGAAAGGCCUGGAGUGGCUGUGCGAUGUGGAUUGGGAAGAUGACAAGUACUACCAGCCCUCAUUGAGAAACCGCCUGACCAUCUCCAGGGACACAUCCAAGAGCGAGGUUUAUUUGGAGAUGAGAGGCAUGGAGGCAGGAGACACUGGCACCUAUUAAUGUGCCAGAGAAGCACAGCGUGCAAAAGCCAUGGGGGACCCAGACAAAUACCAGCUGCAUCGUGACUCAGCGUGUCCUGAUACAUAUUGCCAAGAGCUUGUGAAUGACUAG